rnacentral:rRNA from 1 species
UACGAAGGGGGCUAGCGUUGCUCGGAAUCACUGGGCGUAAAGCGCACGUAGGCGGAUUGCUAAGUCAGGGGUGAAAUCCUGGAGCUCAACUCCAGAACUGCCUUUGAUACUGGCGAUCUCGAGUCCGGGAGAGGUGAGUGGAACUGCGAGUGUAGAGGUGAAAUUCGUAGAUAUUCGCAAGAACACCAGUGGCGAAGGCGGCUCACUGGCCCGGUACUGACGCUGAGGUGCGAAGGCGUGGGGAGCAAACAGG